CGGCGUGCUUAACACAUGCAAGUCGAACGAAGCGCCUCGCCCGAAGAAAUGGAGUGCUUGCACAAAGUGGAUUCAAUUGAGGUGACUGAGUGGCGGACGGGUGAGUAACGCGUGGGUAACCUGCCCUACACAGGGGGAUAACAGUUGGAAACGACUGCUAAUACCGCAUAAGCGCACGGUAUUGCAUGAUACAGUGUGAAAAGAUUUAUCGGUGUAGGAUGGACCCGCGUCUGAUUAGCUGGUUGGUGAGGUAACGGCUCACCAAGGCGACGAUCAGUAGCCGACCUGAGAGGGUGACCGGCCACAUUGGGACUGAGACACGGCCCAAACUCCUACGGGAGGCAGCAGUGGGGAAUAUUGCACAAUGGGCGAAAGCCUGAUGCAGCGACGCCGCGUGAGUGAUGAAGUAUUUCGGUAUGUAAAGCUCUAUCAGCAGGGAAGAUAAUGACGGUACCUGACUAAGAAGCACCGGCUAAAUACGUGCC
rnacentral:rRNA from 1 species